GACGAACGCUGGCGGCGUGCUUAACACAUGCAAGUCGAACGGAAAGGCCCUGCGUUUGUGGGGUGCUCGAGUGGCGAACGGGUGAGUAACACGUGAGUAACCUGCCCUUGACUUUGGGAUAACUUCAGGAAACUGGGGCUAAUAUCGGAUAGGAGCUCCUGCAGCAUGGUGGGGGUUGGAAAGUUUCGGCGGUUGGGGAUGGACUCGCGGCUUACCAGCUUGUUGGUGGGGUAGGUGAUUACCAAGGGUUUGACGGGUAGCCGGCCUGGGAGGGUGACCGGGCACAAUGGGACUACGGUAGGGACCAGUCGGGUACGUGAGGCAACGGUCGGAAGUAUUGCGCAGUGAGCCGAAGCCUGAUGCAGCAACGUCGGGUGCGUAAUGACGGCUUUCGGGGUGUAAACCGCUUUCGCCUGAGACGAAGCGUGAGUGACGGUACUGGAUAAAGAAGCACCGGCUAACUACGUG
rnacentral:rRNA from 1 species